rnacentral:rRNA from 1 species
GAGGAAGGUGUUAAGGUUAAUAACCUUAGCAAUUGACGUUAGCGACAGAAGAAGCACCGGCUAACUCCGUGCCAGCAGCCGCGGUAAUACGGAGGGUGCGAGCGUUAAUCGGAAUUACUGGGCGUAAAGGGCACGCAGGCGGUUAAUUAAGUUGGAUGUGAAAUCCCCGGGCUUAACCUGGGAAUGGCAUUCAAGACUGGUUAGCUAGAGUCUUGUAGAGGGGGGUAGAAUUCCAUGUGUAGCGGUGAAAUGCGUAGAGAUGUGGAGGAAUACCGGUGGCGAAGGCGGCCCCCUGGACAAAGACUGACGCUCAUGUGCGAAAGCGUGGGGAGCAAACAGGAUUAGAUACCCUGGUAGUCCACGCUGUAAACGAUGUCGAUUUGGAGGUUGUGGUCAAGAACUGUGGCCUCCGGAGCUAACGCGUUAAAUCGACCGCCUGGGGAGUACGGCCGCAAGGUUAAAACUCAAAUGAAUUGACGGGGGCCCGCACAAGCGGUGGAGCAUGUGGUUUAAUUCGAUGCAACGCGAAGAACCUUACCUACUCUUGA